AACGAACGCUGGCGGCAUGCCUAACACAUGCAAGUCGAACGAGAUCUUCGGGUCUAGUGGCGCACGGGUGCGUAACGCGUGGGAAUCUGCCCUUUGGUUCGGAAUAACAGUUGGAAACGACUGCUAAUACCGGAUGAUGACGAAAGUCCAAAGAUUUAUCGCCAGAGGAUGAGCUCGCGUAGGAUUAGCUAGUUGGUGUGGUAAAGGCGCACCAAGGCGACGAUCCUUAGCUGGUCUGAGAGGAUGAUCAGCCACACUGGGACUGAGACACGGCCCAGACUCCUACGGGAGGCAGCAGUGGGAAUAUUGGACAAUGGGCGAAAGCCUGAUCCAGCAAUGCCGCGUGAGUGAUGAAGGCCUUAGGGUUGUAAAGCUCUUUUACCCGGGAUGAUAAUGACAGUACCGGGAGAAUAAGCUCCGGCUAACUCCGUGCCAGCAGCCGCAGUAA
rnacentral:rRNA from 1 species